rnacentral:rRNA from 1 species
AGUGAACGCUGGCGGUAGGCCUAACACAUGCAAGUCGAACGGCAGCACAGUAAGAGCUUGCUCUUACGGGUGGCGAGUGGCGGACGGGUGAGGAAUACAUCGGAAUCUACUUUUUCGUGGGGGAUAACGUAGGGAAACUUACGCUAAUACCGCAUACGACCUACGGGUGAAAGCAGGGGACCUUCGGACCUUGCGCGAUUGAAUGAGCCGAUGUCGGAUUGGCUAGUUGGCGGGGUAAAGGCCCACCAAGGCGACGAUCCGUAGCUGGUCUGAGAGGAUGAUCAGCCACACUGGAACUGAGACACGGUCCAGACUCCUACGGGAGGCAGCAGUGGGGAAUAUUGGACAAUGGGCGCAAGCCUGAUCCAGCCAUACCGCGUGGGUGAAGAAGGCCUUCGGGUUGUAAAGCCCUUUUGUUGGGAAAGAAAAGCAGCAGGUUAAUACCCCGCUGUUCUGACGGUACCCAAAGAAUAAGCACCGGCUAACUUCGUG